CCAUCCCCCAUCCCCCAUCCCCCAUGGCAGGAGAAACAGUCAAGUUUUUCCUGCCCAUCACUCAAUGGCUCAAUCGCAUCGCUCUCCCGGCAACACCGUAACGAGGAGCAACUUGCCGUUUGGAUAUAUCCUAGCUGUGUUUGUGCCCUCACUCAUGGUCCAGACUUUUUUCAAAUAGGACAUGUAGUUUGUCUGCAGCGAGUGUUUUGGUAGAAACUGCGCCUCCCAUUCAUUAUAAUGGGAAAUGACCACAGACAAGUGCGCACACCAUCUUUGGACCUUGAGUGUGACGCGAUCGGGAGGGGGAGGCGGUCGCACUGGGGGCGGCGCAACGCGGCUCGGGCCCGCCAGUGCCCCAACGGGGCCCUAGUUCUUUCUUUCUUUCUUCUUUUUCCUCCCCUUUGAACUGGAAAAUGGCCCACUUCCCACUGGCGAAAACUCAUGAAAUUUGGCAGGACGACCGGGCCUGGUGAAAAAUUCGAUAUUCUGAAGUCGCCCAAACAAUAAAAUGCAAAAUGGCUCCAUAGCGCCCCCUAAGGUGGAAAUUCACACUAUUGACUGUCACGCCUGUACGCUUUGUCAUAUUGACACAAAAAUUGACACACAUAUGUAUCUCAAUAAGAUCUACAAAAAAGUCAGUGCGGGCGUAUCUGUCAAAUGUACGGUUAAAGGGUUAUUUCGCAUUUUUUGCCGAUCCGCACACAUUGGAAUUUCGCUAACUCCUCCGAAGGCUUUCGUUCCACCGGCACCACAUUUGCUCAGGCCAAUCUACACCCCGUGGCCAUUAAAAGUUAUCAAAAUCAUGACGCUGCACCCCAAGGUUUAGGUUCUAGGGGGCGCCAAAGAUAACACUAAAAUCCACAUAUUUAAAAGUCUUAUAACUUUUUAUUUUUGUCCUCACUGGCCUCCAAGUUUUCUAGGAUGAUGCAAUGUCCAGCCAUCAACACAUUUGUGAAGGAAUUUUUACUCCCCAAAAGAGCGCCCCCCCAUGGCAGGAGAAAAAAGUCCAUUUUUUCUUGUCCCCUAAGGUGAAAAAAAACAUUGUUGAGUGUCACGCCUAUACGCUUUGUCAAAAUGACACAAAAAUUGACACACACAUGUAACUCAAUAAGAUCUACGAAAAAGUCAAUGCGCGCGUAUCUGGCAAAUGUACGGUUAAAGGGUUAUUCCGCAUUUUUUGCCGAUCCGCACACAUUGGAAUGUGGCUAACUCCUCCUAAGGCUUUCGUUCCACCGGCACCACAUUUGCUCAGGACAAUCUACACCCCAUGGCCAUUAAAAGUUAUUCAAAUCAUGACGCUGCACCCCACGGUUUAGGUUCUAGGGGGCGCCAAAGAUAACCCUAAAAUCCACAUAUUUAAAAGUCUUAUAACUUUUUAUUUUUGUCCUCACUGGCCUCCAAGUUUUCUAGGAUGAUGCAAUGUCCAGCCAUCAACACAUUUGUGAAGGAAUUUUUACUGCCCAAAAGAGCGCCCCCCAUGGCAGGAGAAAAAAGUCCAUUUUUUCUUGUCCCCUAAGGUGAAAAUACAUAUUGUUGAGAUUCACGCCUAUACGCUUUGUCAUAUUGACACAAAAUUUGACAAUCACGUGCCUUGCCUGGUAUCAUUUUUUUCAGCACAACCUCACCUGUGCGAAUUUACAGUUAUUUUAUCAUGUUGACAUACUGAAUUUACACAAUGGACCCAAAUUCACACACAAAACAUAAAAUCCGAGUGGAAAAAAGUAACAUUUUUACUGUGAAAACCACAAAUAUGUGUGAUGAACUGUUUUUAAAACUUAAACUUCAAAUAAAAAUUGUAAACUUCAAAACAUAUGCAAAUUUUUAACAAAGAACAUAGUGAUUUACCUCUAUUUUCAUCAAAAUGCAGGCAAUGGCCCAGGCGUUCUUUGUAAAAUUAUUUACAAAACACUGUAUAGUCUCACAAAUGUCACUUUUUAUUUAUGCCACUACAAAAAAAACAUGAUGUAAAUGAUGCAUGAUGUAAAACAUGAUGUAAAAAACUUGUGUAGAUCCUCCUCUAUGUCAGUCCAUGUGUAAUUUUUCCAUAAUUCUUUGUUUUUUGCAGCAUUUUUGUUAGUGUAACUGCAGAUUGUGCUGACAGUGUCUAUGGCACAAAAAAAAAUAAAAUUAAAAUGCCUCAACAUGAACCCCUGGUGGUCUCUGAGGGUGAAACCUGCUAACUGCUGCAGCUCUGUCAGCUUCAGUCUCCCAUGCAGAGCUCUGAGCACAUGUGUGGCUCUGCACCCUUAGCAGCGUUGCUAACUCCUCAGUAAGGAAAGCCUGCUUCAUGUCAGAGUCUCUAAACUCCAGAAGAAGUCGAUAAAAGUCCCUUUCUUUCUAAAAAAAAGUCGUUAGGGGGUCUGAAAAGUCAUUGAAUCUAACAACAAAGUCGCUAGGUUUGCAACUACGUGUCCCAGACUGCAUCCCUGCUGAGAGUCCCUCCCUCCCUUCUCAUGUUGCAGGAAGAACGUAAGCACCCGCCCCUUGUCAAUCAGUCACCAUAUAAUUUUGGAUUGGUUGUUGUGGUGAAGUUUUCCACCAAUAGGAGAGAUGUUGUGGUGUGUUUUUUUUUUCUUUUGGCAAGCCUUUUCCGCCUGUAAGACCUGUCGCUAAUGUCUGCAUGCUAGGUUUUCCUGUCUCAUACAGCGCGAUCGAGCGCCGAACGUGAUCAAAAUAAGCAGAAAAAAAGUAUUGCGGACAUAAUUUAUCAUAACUCUGGUUUUAUUUGGCCUAUCAACACAAUUUGAAAACUGGUAUAUAGGUUGAGGUCCUCACUUUUGAGAUAAGUUGAAACGGAGAGUCAACGAGGCUCCGUCUUGCAGCUACAUCCGGUUAAAUAUGUCAUGUGACUUGAACGCACACACACACACGCACACACACACACACACACACACACACACACACUCAGAGUCUGGUUUUUAGCACCUGCAAAAACAUGCUAUUUACAUAUUUGACAAGAAUGCAGAGGCUCCUUUUGCCCCUGAAAAAAAUCAAAUUUCAAACACAACUUGACUGGUCAUUUCUCCAAAAGACAACCAUGAAGCUCCAUCCAAACCUGAAGCAGGCAGUUGGUGCAUGUGUACAGUAACCUGAGGGGAGUGAGGUGAGUGCUUCUGAGGAGAACAUGAGCAGUGAAGAUUCACCUUGGAGCUAGAACAGAGACAUGCACAUGAUUAUACAGGGGCAGGGGCUCAAGUUUUUUCCAGUCGUUUAUACAAUAUGGAAAUUAAUGUGAAAUUAAAACACAAAGUAUUAAUAGAAAGGUAAUGACUGUCCUGUGUAGGUGACAGUGAUAUCCAAUAGGCUAGGCACUCACGAGGCUGGCUGUGGCAAGUGUAAGUGAAAGCAACACGCACUGGCAGGAAGAACAGCAAACGCCGAUGAAGGAAAAGGGUCUUUGCAGUGAUGGGCGUUACCAGAGAGGGCGAUGGCCAGAGGACACAAAUGGGACGGGGAGGCAGCACGUUGGGGGGGGGGGGGGGCGACACGGCUCGGGCCCGCCAGUGCCCCAACGGGGUCCUAGUUAGGGCCCGAGCGUAGCUGCUAAGCAGCUGCGAGAGCCCUCUUGUUCCUGUAGUUUCCUUCUUUUGUUAUUAUUAUUAGGGCCCGAGCGUAGCUGCUAAGCAGCUGCGAGAGCCCUCUUGUUCCUGCAUGUUUCCUUCUUUUGUUAUUAUUAGGGCCCGAGCGUAGCUGCUAAGCAGCUGCGAGAGCCCUCUUGUUCCUGCAUGUUUCCUUCUUUUGUUAUUAUUAUUAUUUUUCCUCCCCUUUGAACUGGAAAAUGGCCCACUUCCCACUGGCGAAAACUCAUGAAAUUUGGCAGGACGACCGGGCCUGGUGAAAAAUUUGAUAUUCCGAAGUCGCCCAAACAAGAAAAUGCAAAAUGGCUCCAUAGCGCCCCCUAAGGUGAAAAUUCACACUAUUGACUGUCACGCGUGUACGCUUUGUCAAAAUGACACAAAAAUUGACACACACAUGUAUCUCAAUAAGAUCUACAAAAAAGUCAGUGCGGGCGUAUCUGUCAAAUGUACGGUUAAAGGGUUAUUGCGCAUUUUUUGCCGAUCCGCACACAUUGGAAUUUCGCUAACUCCUCCGAAGGCUUUCGUUCCACCGGCACCACAUUUGCUCAGGCCAAUCUACACCCCAUGGCCAUUAAAAGUUAUUCAAAUCAUGACGCUGCACCCCACGGUUUAGGUUCUAGGGGGCGCCAAAGAUAACCCUAAAAUCCACAUAUUUCAAAGUCUUAUAACUUUUUAUUUUUGCCCUCACUGGCCUCCAAGUUUUCUAGGAUGAUGCAAUGUCCAGCCAUCAACACAUUUGUGAAGGAAUUUUUACUCCCCAAAAGAGCGCCCCCCCAUGGCAGGAGAAAAAAGUCCAUUUUUUCUUGUCCCAUAAGGUGAAAAUUCACACUAUUGACUGUCACGCCUGUACGCUUUGUCAAAAUUACACAAAAAUUGACACACACAUGUAUCUCAAUAAGAUCUACAAAAAAGUCAGUGCGGGCGUAUCUGUCAAAUGUACGGUUAAAGGGUUAUUGCGCAUUUUUUGCCGAUCCGCACACAUUGGAAUGUGGCUAACUCCUCCUAAGGCUUUCGUCCCACUGACACCAAAUUUGCUCAGGCCAAUCUACACCCCAUGGCCAUUAAAAGUUAUUCAAAUCAUGACGCUGCACCCCACGGUUUAGGUUCUAGGGGGCGCCAAAGAUAACCCUAAAAUCCACAUAUUUAAAAGUCUUAUAACUUUUUAUUUUUGCCCUCACUGGCCUCCAAGUUUUCUAGGAUGAUGCAAUGUCCAGCCAUCAACACAUUUGUGAAGGAAUUUUUACUCCCCAAAAGAGCGCCCCCCCAUGGCAGGAGAAAAAAGUCCAUUUUUUCUUGUCCCAUAAGGUGAAAAUACACAUUGUUGACUGUCAUACCUGUAUGCUUUGUCAUAUUGACACAAAAUUUGACACACACAUGUAUCUCAAUUAGAUCUACGAAAAAGUCAAUGCGCGCGUAUCUGUAAAAUGUACGGUUAAAGGGCUAUUUUGCAUUUUUUGCCGAUUAGCACACAUUGGAAUGUGGCUAAUUCCUCCUAAGGCUUUCGUCCCACAGACACCAAAUUUGCUCAGGCCAAUCUACACCCCAUGGCCAUUCAAAGUUUUAAAAAUCAUGACGCUGCACCCCACGGUUUACGUUCUAGGGGGCGCCAAAGAUGACCCAAAUAUCCACAUUCUUAAAAGAAUCCACAUCCCCCCCCCCCCAUCCCCCAUCCCCCAUCCCCCAUGGCAGGAGAAAAAGUCAAGUUUUUCCUGCCCAUCACUCAAUGGCUCAAUCGCAUCGCUCUCCCGGCAACACCGUAACGAGGAGCAACUUGCCGUUUGGAUAUAUCCUAGCUGUGUUUGUGCCCUCACUCAUGGUCCAGACUUUUUUCAAAUAGGACAUGGAGUUUGUCUGCAGCGAGUGUUUUGGUAGAAACUGCGCCUCCCAUUCAUUAUAAUGGGAAAUGACCACAGACAAGUGCGCACACCAUCUUUGGACCUUGAGUGUGACGCGAUCGGGAGGGGGAGGCGGUCGCGCUGGGGGCGGCGCAACGCGGCUCGGGCCC